UCCACUAGAACCCAUACAAGUGCUUCAGUGUGAACUCAUCAAUUGCACUACCAAAGUCAAUGAUACGCCUGGAGUAUUGGUGAUAAAAGCAUUAAUUAUCAUGGAAGAACAAAGUGUAACAGGGAUAUUAAACAACAUGAUGGAGCAUGCACAUCAUCCUUCAUGCACUAAUACAAACGAUGAAAAAACUUCAAUAUCAUCUAUCUCAACUUGAAAAAAGAAACGAUAAUUCAUGAAGCAAACAACUCAGGUUCAGUUGAUGGAAAAAAAUGGAUAAAACAGAGGCGGGACAAGCUUUAAUUUGUAGGUGAGAUAGAGGAUGGUUGAUCAGCCCAUAACAAAAGAUAUCAUGAUCCUUCUAUCAUUUAUGCAAACUGAAAAUGAUACAGAAGAAAAUUUCCCUGAUAGAUGUUAAGAAAUAUGAAAAUCUACACUACAUUUUAACAUUGUUAGCAUGUAGCAAGAUAAGUAGAUAAAGAUGACAGAGAGCAUUCAGCACACAGCCCCCAAUCCCAAUCUCCUAAGCAUCUCAUUUUAAAUCACGGACGAGUGUCUAUAAAGAACUAGAAUUUCUCUCCCGAUGCUUAGUGUACAAACUAGCAUCAAGACGUAGUUAAAAGCCUCCAAAUGCAAUUCAAAUAGAUUGACAAAUAUCUACAAUCAAUACAAAUGUUCACCGACUGUCCUAACAAUUUCAUCUUUCCUAGGCCUGCAAACCCAAACUGCAUCCAUAGAAAACCUUAAACCAGUUUUUGAAAAAAUAUGUUAGGUAAAUCACCAACUGUGGCCCUCUUAUAUUGAAAUCCAAGGUAUCUCCUGCAUAUUAAGAACUCCGUUGACACUAAAAAUUGUGCAAUGCAGAUCAAUAAAUUGUUUGGUUUUGAUAAAUUUUGACAUAGAACCAGGAAUAAAUGUUAAUGAUAAAGAUAGAUCACACUGACACAUCAGAUACAAGUAGAAAAAAGAAACAUUGAUUUAUAAUACUGAAUAUUACUUGUCAAAAGGAAAGUAAUAUUUUUCUUUUUGUUGUCAGACUUCAAAAUGUGCCUUCUGAGCUAAGCAGAGGAUUAAUAUAUAAAAAUUCAUCUGCUUUUGCUUAUAUAAACUUAUGUGUUAUAUAGUAUUCAUGUUCAAUCAAAUAUUUAUAAUAAAUGCACGUUUAGAU
rnacentral:lncRNA from 1 species